UGUAGGUACACCGCAGAGACAU
rnacentral:siRNA from 1 species